AACGAACGCUGGCGGCGUGGAUAAGACAUGCAAGUCGAGCGCUCAUUUUCCUGUAGCAAUAUAGGGAAGUGGGAGCGGCGCAAGGGUGCGUAACACGUGGAUCAUCUGCCUGGAAGUCUGGAAUAAUUCCGCGAAAGCGGGACUAAUGCCGGAUGUGACUGAAGAGUUAAAGCUGGGGACCCGCAAGGGCCUGGCGCUUCCAGAUGGGUCCGCGGCCUAUCAGCUAGUUGGCGGGGUAACGGCCCACCGAGGCGAAGACGGGUAGCUGGUCUGAGAGGACGACCAGCCACACUGGAACUGAGACACGGUCCAGACACCUACGGGUGGCAGCAGUCGAGAAUUUUUCUCAAUGGGCGCAAGCCUGAAGGAGCGACGCCGCGUGGGGGAUGAAGGGCUUCGGCCCGUAAACCCCUGUCAUUUGCGAGCAAACCUUUUCAAAUAACACUUGAAGAGUUGAUAGUAGUGAAAGAGGAAGGGACGGCUAACUCUGUGCCAGCAGCCGCGGUAAGAC
rnacentral:rRNA from 1 species